ACAGUAAGUGAGGUCAUCCCACCUUUUGGUAUCUGGAUCAUUUAUUCUAUCUUUUGAUGGAAGAGAGUGAUAAUAGAUUUAGGGUAUAUACAGUGCAGUAGAGAAUGACACCCCGUCCUCAUAGGCUGUGAGCUCCAAAUUUGCACCUCAUUUGCACUGUGAAGAAGCCACUCCAUUGUUUCAGUAGACCAGUGGCUUCUGGGUGGCGCAGUAUGAGAUAACAACUUUAGAUUACACGGUCAUGUGCCCACUGAGCACUUCCUUUGCUACAUGUGGGUCCCUUGGUCCCAGCUGAUCAUAUGAAAUAUCCCGGCUCAGUGUAUCCAACAUUCUUUAAGCCCUCUGUUAGUGGUGCCUGACAAAGAAAUGUGAGCGGGAAAGUCAAACUUACACCUGUAAUGUAGACAAAUUCCAGUAAAGAUGAAUCUCUGCUCCUUCCAGGAUGGAAGUUGCUGGACGCAAUCAACAAGUCACAAGGGGCUGAUUAGUCUCCUUAAGCAAUGGUGCCAUACUGGGUAUUCAGCACUGGUUGCUGGCAGUUUAAACAUUUGGCAAAAAUAGCUGGAUAUGCCUGGGUGAAUGUGGACCCACGCUGUUGAACACGUGCAUAGCAUCCACUUCUUCCACCAUGGCUAUUCCACACAUAAGGCCAUUGUGUAGCAUUAAUGUGGCCAGGGACUGAGGCUGGCUAAUGUCAACUAGUCAGGUCAUUUUUUCUUGAUUAAACGUUUAGUGUCUCUUCCACGGUGAAUGCUCUCUUGAGCCUUAAGACGUGAUACAAAUAUCUUCACAUAUAGUGUCCCUUCUCAUACGUCCAUCAAUAAACCUCCUUCCCCAAUCCUGCUUGUUGCAAUCUGUCACUACUUGUCAUUCUAAGUCCCUGAGCAGCUGUCCAAUUUGUUUUUCACUGUCCAUAAGUCCAUUCUUAGUUUGGGUCACUUCUCUUUUAGAUAUGAAGUGGAUCGUCAGAUGCACCAUUUGAAGCUCUGCCAACUGGGGAUUUCUGCUCAGCAUUGUAUUUCUUGACCACAUUUGAUCGAGAGUCUACUCCUCUCUGCAGAUGAGAUUCCCUGGUUGCCACUCAACUUUCCUGCUUAAUAUGAUCGUUGUGACCAUCUUGCUUUUGAAAUGUAAGUGCCACUUCCGGAGUCAAAGGGGCAGGUGGCCCAAAGCUUCCAGUUUGGGGUGAAAUUGCAAGAAAUAGAGACUCUGUAGACAGCAUCUGCAUAUCACCAUAUUCCAGAAUUCACUGACCACAGGUGAUGCUGUGGACCCUAACCUCCCAUGGCUUUCCAGGGUCUGGACUAGGGGAGAAAGUAUAAAUUUCACCAGAGCACUAUUCAUGAACACACACGUGGCAGCUCCAGAAAAAAAAUAAAUAAAUAACGAUCGAGUCAUGUUUACAAGAGGAUAGAGACCCCAUGUCAUGCAGGAGUGAGUGCAGUCAGUGAAGUCUGAAUUGUUAAUGUUAACCCCACUUAGAAGAAAAAAAAGUACAAUUGAUUUUAUUCAUUGACGUGAUCCUGUAUGCAGAAAAUUCUAACAAACCCACCAAAGAGUAUUAGAACUAUUAAAUGAGUUUAGCAAGUUCACAAGAUACAAGAUCAAUACAGAAAAUUAGUAGCAUUUCUGUAUACUAACAAUGAAUAAACCCAAAGUGAAAUUAAGAAAAUAAUUGCAUUAAGAAUAAAACACUUAGGAAGAAAUCUAACAAAAUAAGUGCACAGCUUAUACA